rnacentral:rRNA from 1 species
AUGGGGCGUAUCUGCUCUGCUCUAGGUUGGGUCGCCUCGCCCAUCAUCUCCAAGAUCCUCACCAAAGGAUUCGAUUACCUUGGAUAUGACACAGCAAAGAAAAUCUUGGUGCUGGAAAGGGUGAUGCAAGUUGUCGAGACGAGCCCAUACAGGCCUCGUCUAGAGAAGCUGUUCAAGGAGCUUAAAUCUGCUUUCUAUGAAGCCGAAGAAAUCUUGGAUGCUGUUGAGUAUCACUGCCUUGAGAGACAGACCCAAGACGGCAAACUGCAGUCUUCUAUGGACAAGUUCUGGUCUUCUGUCGCCAAGUUCUUCUCCCUAAAAAACGAGGAGAGUGGCAUGUCAAAGAAAAAGUUGAUAGAGAGCCUCAAGAAGAUAGAAGACAAUAUAAAUGAAGCACACCAAAUUUUGGAUAAGCUUAACUUGUCAAGCAUAAAUGAUGGAAAUAGAAGACAUGUAAUGGAUGUUAAUCGUCCUACUACCGCAGUUUCUCCCCAGAAGGUAUUUGGUCGAGAUAAUGACCGCGACAAGAUCAUAGUAAUGCUUCAUGAAAAUGAAGGUGGUGUUCAACCAAGCACCAGCAACAGUCUAUGCUUUUCUGUAAUUGGCAUACAUGGAGUUGGUGGGUCAGGGAAAUCUACCCUUGCACAAUUGGUUUAUGCCCAUGAGGAGAAAGACAAGAAAGACAACAAGGAAGGUCACUUCGACCUGGUUAUGUGGGUCCAUGUCUCUCAGAGUUUUAGUGUGGGCGACAUCUUCAAGGAGUUGUAUGAGGCAGCUUCAGAGCCUAAGGUUGCAUGCCCUCAAUUUCAUAACCUGAAUACCUUGGAAAAGGAAUUGGAGAGGAAACUAGAUGGAAAAAGAUUCCUUCUAGUACUAGAUGAUGUCUGGUGCAACAAGGAUGUCGGUAACGAGGAGCUACCAAAGUUACUUUCUCCACUGAAGAAAGGAAAGAGAGGAAGCAAGAUCCUAGUGACAACUCGAAGUAAAUUUCCAUUGUCGGAUCUAGGUCCCGGUGUGCGACAUACUGCAAUGCCAAUAAAUGAGGUUAAUGAUACUGCCUUCUUCGAGCUAUUCAUGCACUAUGCCCUCGAAGAAGGCCAAGACUAG